rnacentral:rRNA from 1 species
UACAGAGGUCUCAAGCGUUGUUCGGAUUCAUUGGGCGUAAAGGGUGCGUAGGUGGCGCUGUAAGUCGGGUGUGAAAUUUCGGAGCUUAACUCCGAAACUGCAUUCGAUACUGCGGUGCUUGAGGACUGGAGAGGAGACUGGAAUUCAUGGUGUAGCAGUGAAAUGCGUAGAGAUCAUGAGGAAGACCAGUGGCGAAGGCGGAUCUCUGGACAGUUCCUGACACUGAGGCACGAAGGCCAGGGGAGCAAACGGGG